rnacentral:rRNA from 1 species
UGCAGUCGAGCGCAGUCCUUCGGGACCGAGCGGCGGACGGGUUAGUAACGCGUGGGAAUAUACCCAGAUCUAAGGAAUAGCCUCGGGAAACUGAGAGUAAUACCUUAUACGCCCUUCGGGGGAAAGAUUUAUCGGAUUUGGAUUAGCCCGCGUUAGAUUAGAUAGUUGGUGGGGUAAUGGCCUACCAAGUCUACGAUCUAUAGCUGGUUUUAGAGGAUGAUCAGCAACACUGGGACUGAGACACGGCCCAGACUCCUACGGGAGGCAGCAGUGGGGAAUCUUAGACAAUGGGCGAAAGCCUGAUCUAGCCAUGCCGCGUGUGUGAUGAAGGCCCUAGGGUCGUAAAGCACUUUCGCCAGAGAUGAUAAUGACAGUAUCUGGUAAAGAAACCCCGGCUAACUCCGUGCCAGCAGCCGCGGUAAUACGGAGGGGGUUAGCGUUGUUCGGAAUUACUGGGCGUAAAGCGUACGUAGGCGGAUUAGUAAGUUAGGGGUGAAAUCCCGAGGCUCAACCUCGGAACUGCCUCUAAAACUGCUAGUCUUGAGUUCGAGAGAGGUGAGUGGAAUUCCGAGUGUAGAGGUGAAAUUCGUAGAUAUUCGGAGGAACACCAGUGGCGAAGGCGGCUC